AUUUAUAAAGUCAAAGUAGCAUUGAUAUUUAUGGUCAUGGCAAUUCAAAAAUAAAAAAAAAAUAAUAAUAAUAAAAAAAUAAUAAUAAAACAAAACUUGUCAAAAAAUUUAACCAAUGCAUGCUGCCACCCUACAUCGUGACGAACGUUUUGACCGUUGCAAACUCAGAGGUAUGACGAGCGUCACGCAUGCUGUCACGGUCGCAACACCCCCAUGACGCCCGCCACGCAUGCUGUCACGAACGUGACAACUUGCUUUCUCGUAAAUGUUUUUGACCGUUAUGCUGUCACGAACAUGACACAUUGCUGCCUCGUAACCAUGUCAUGACCG
rnacentral:lncRNA from 1 species